rnacentral:rRNA from 1 species
AUGACGCUGGCGGCAGGCUACACUGCAGUUUAACGGUAACAGGAUGUGCUUGCACAUCGCUUAACGAGUGGCGGACGGGUGAGUAAUGCUUAGGGAUCUGCCUCUGUGUGGGGGAUAACUAUUGGAAACGAUAGCUAAUACCGCAUAAUGUUUACGGACCAAAGGGGGCGUUUGCUCCCGCGCAGAGAGGAACCUAAGUGAGAUUAGCUAGUUGGUAAGGUAAUGGCUUACCAAGGCGACGAUCUCUAGCUGUUCUGAGAGGAAGAUCAGCCACACUGGGACUGAGACACGGCCCAGACUCCUACGGGAGGCAGCAGUGGGGAAUAUUGCACAAUGGGGGGAACCCUGAUGCAGCCAUGCCGCGUGUGUGAAGAAGGCCUUCGGGUUGUAAAGCACUUUCAGUUGUGAGGAAAGGUUAGUAGUUAAUACCUGCUAGCUGUGACGUUAGCAACAGAAGAAGCACCGGCUAACUCCGUGCCAGCAGCCGCGGUAAUACGGAGUGGUGCGAGCGUUAAUCGGAAUUACUGGGCGUAAAGCGCACGCAGGGCGGUUUGUUAAGCUAAGAUUGUGAAAGCCCCGAGCUCAAACUUUGGGAUGGUCAUUUAGAACUUGGCAGACUAAGAGUCUUUGGGACGAGGGGAGUGGAAUUUCUAAGGUUGUAGCGGUGAAAUGCGUAGCAUUUCACAAGGCAACCUCAGUGGCGAAGGCGACUCCCUGGGCCAAGACUGACGUCAUGUG